rnacentral:rRNA from 1 species
CCCGCGACUCGGCGAAAGUCCAUUGAACCUUAUCAUUUAGAGGAAGGAGAAGUCGUAACAAGGUUUCCGUAGGUGAACCUGCGGAAGGAUCAUUG